rnacentral:lncRNA from 1 species
CUUGCCUUUGUCGUAUUUAUAGUUAGUUUAGUGACCAUCAAGUUUUUGCGCCGUUGCUGGGGACUAAAAUAUUAUGAACACUUUAUUUUUAUUAAUUUAGCCAUUUAUUUUUAUUUUAUUUUAUUUUUUUAGUUUACAUUCUAAUUUUUCUUUUGUUUACUUUUGGAAGGUUCCUUUAUUACUGAGGAGAUAGGUGAUAAUUAGAAU